CGACUUUCGAACGCAUAUUGCAGCCAUUGGAUAUCCGAUGGCUUCGUUUGUCUGAGCGUCGUUAUCAAAAUUUGACAAACCAAAAUGGAAUAAAUCCGUAUCGUCGCGAUUCAUUUCGGUGUCGUGAGAUUAUUUCUAAACAUUUCGAAUGCUGACUCCUUUGGUGAUUAUUUGAUGGCUUUGUAGCAYAUUCAUCACUAAAAAGGGUAUUUAGCGUUUCCAGCUAAACAACCCAGAAUGUGUGCCAUGUAUGAUUACCAUCAUGGAUCAAUAUUCAAAUUACAAUUGUCUAUAUUCGACCUCAGAUCAAGCGAGAUUACCCCCUGAAUUUAAGC
rnacentral:rRNA from 1 species